rnacentral:rRNA from 1 species
GAUGAACGCUGGCGGCGUGCCUAAUACAUGCAAGUCGAACGAGGUGCUUUUGUAGCAAUACGAAAGUAUCCUAGUGGCGAACGGGUGAGUAACGCGUUGGUGACCUACCCCAAAGUGUGGGAUAACAGUCCGAAAGGAUUGCUAAUACCGCAUGUGGUCAUUGGAUUUAGAAAAUGAUGAGUAAUGGAGCAAUUCGCUUUGGGAGGGACCUGCGUCCCAUCAGCCAGUUGGUGAGGUAACGGCCCACCAAGGCGACGACGGGUAGGGGACCUGAGAGGGUGCCCCACCACAAAGGAACUGAAACACGGUCCAUACACCUACGGGUGGCAGCAGUAGGGAAUAUUGCACAAGGGGCGAAAGCCUGAUGCAGCAACGCCGCGUGUGCGAUGAAGGCCUUCGGGUCGUAAAGCACUUUUCUGCGAGAUGAGAAAGGACAGUAUCGUAGGAAUAAGUCUCGGCUAACUACGUGCCAGCAGCCGCCGUAACAC